GUGAGGAAUUUUCCGCAAUGGGCGAAAGCCUGACGGAGCAAUGCCGCGUGAAGGAUGAAGGCCUAUGGGUUGUAAACUUCUUUUCUCAGAAAAGAAUUAUGACGGUAUCUGAGGAAUAAGCAUCGGCUAACUCUGUGCCAGCAGCCGUGGUAAGACAGAGGAUGCAAGCGUUAUCCGGAAUGAUUGGGCGUAAAGCGUCUGUAGGUUGUUUAAAAAGUAUUCUGUCAAAGAUUAGGGCUUAACCCUAGAUAGGCAGAAUAAACUUUUAAGCUAGAGUUUGGUAGAGGCAGAGGGAAUUCCCGGUGGAGCGGUGAAAUGCGUAGAUAUCGGGAGGAACACCAAAGGCGAAGGCACUCUGCUGGGCCAAUACUAACACUGAGAGACGAAAGCGAGGGGAGCAAAUGGGAUUAGAUACCCUAGUAGUCC
rnacentral:rRNA from 1 species